rnacentral:lncRNA from 1 species
CAACAAGGGAACUCGAAAAGAAGAGAUUCUAUGACGUCAUAGUGUUGCUGUUAGCCGAUAGAAUACUCAUAGAUGAGGAGCCAUCAGAAGAGUCCAGCUAACACAGCUUAGGCCUAUUUCAUCAUCCCACCAAACAAGAAGAUAGCCUGCUUCUCGCUUGACAGAUCAAGGAAGGAGGAGGUGGAGGAGAUGACAGAACAAGAUCUACUGAAAAGACAUCCAUGACCUGGUGGCAGGUGCCCAAGCCAUGUGCUCCCAAUACCCACAACUGGAUUCUUUUUGCUGAAGAGAGAAAAGACAUCCAUGACCUGGUGGCAGGUGCCCAAGCCAUGUGCUCCCAAUACCCACAACUAGAUUCUUUUUGCUGAAGAGACCUAUGAUGAACACAACAAAAUCAUAGGAAUCCAGGACUCCCCACUUGAAGGAUACUAAACUAGGAUGGAAAUUACCUCUACACCCCGAUUGCAUCUCCACUAUCCCCGGCCCAUUCCUCUGCUUUCCUUUUUGCAACACAGGUGAUUACCUCCAGGGGGCCUCUGUACAUGCAGGUUGUAAACACUGGGCAUGUAGAAUUGAAUCCACCAGACAUGGUGGCACCAUGCUCGACCAUCUGAAAACUCGUUUUCACCUUCCCAUCAGUGAUCCCUGGGAAAAAACGAUGGCGAGCAGGAGUUGUGGGGGAGCUCUACCCUAAUAACUAUGCUAAACACCCUGUAGUUGACCUACAUGUUUCUCUCCAGCUUGUCCCUGCCUCCAAGUCCAUCUUUACCCACAUUAACCUUCUUCAACAGGAAAGCCAAGCUCAGGAGGUCCAAGCCACUCCCUCCUGGCUACAGUACAUCCAAUAUACAGCUGACCUCCUCCCCUUAACCACCCACCCCAGUCCCUCUUAGUGCUUCUCUGUCUUUCCCUUUCCUGGCCACUACUGGCAGCUGGUCCCAUUAGAAGCUUGCUCCAAGAACCUCAUGGAGACUUAUUCACAUGAAAGUCACAAAACAUUCCUUUCUUCAAUCUACCCCUACACUUUUGUCUUAUAGGACCCUCUUCAAGAUCCCAUCCUACAUGUCCCUGCGAUAUCACUGUCACCAAGCCAAUAUGUGCUUGCUUAUCCCCCACUUUCUCUGGUGCAACAACACUACUGGUUCCUGCAUUGUACCCCCUUUUAAAGGCUUCUGUACCCCCAUGAUGAUUGUUCCCCAAGUUUAUCUCUAUGAGCCUAAAGCACUUGCUUUAGAGCUAGGAGGUCUAAAGAAAAGAGUUUUUCAUCCCUCUGCUCUUGGGACUGGAUCUCACCAACUUAUUGGGCAUUCCUGGAGCAGCCAGAGCAGCCCUCCUCCAAACAUACCAUCUGACCAGUGGCUUCCAGAAUAAGCUUGAUAAGGCCAUGGCUUCCACCACAGACAGUCCUGAGUCCCUCCAGUGACAGAUCAUCUCCCUGGCAUGGAUUGUUCUCAAAAACUGGAGGGCCUGGACUUAAUGACUGAUGAGAGGUGAUAGCCUACCAUGGAAGGGAAGCCAUGACAGAAUUGACAUUGCAGUGGGGAGUCCAGGCUGCUGGAACCUGAGAAUCGAAAUCCCACAAGCCUAUGUUCAGCUACCUGCUUCUGCCACCAAUUUCUCAUCUUCAAAAGGCUCCAUAAACGCCCAAAACAGUUCAAAGCAACUAAGGAUCAACUGAUGAAACAUUUGUCCUUAUGGUGGAUAUCCCAUGACAAAAAAAUUUAUAUUAACAAGACAACAGUUUUACAAGUUGGUGGUUGUGACACUGUUGGGUUUUGACUUUAAAGUAGGGUGUUACUAUAGCCCAGACUGGUCUUGAAUACACAGUGUAGCCCAGCAUAGGCUGACCUGGAAGUCAUGGAAGUCCUCCUGCCACCUCUUUUCAAUUGUUGGAACUGUAUGUGUAAAUGUUGAAAUUAUAAGCACUAUGCUUGGCUUAAGACAACCUUCAUUAUCUCACAUUCCCUUCCCUGAUUCUGUCAUAACUUGUAUUGCCACACUCCACCCCAAAAGACCCAUCUCCUUACCUGUUCCCAGAUCUAAAUGCUGGACGAGCAGCAAUGAUAUGGAUCAGUUCACACCAGACACACUAGAUGAUUAUAUUCUCCUAAUUGUUGGCACUAUCUUUCCCAAGUACCUAAUUAAAUAUGGUGGCAUGACUGAAAGCUGAAUUAUACUGAGGUACUCAGGAGUCAUCUACUGAGAACCUUCAAUGAAAAAGGCCUGAAAAGACC